AGACAGGAAACCAAAUCUGGACGAUGAAUCAUGACCGUGUGAUCAGAGCGUGAUUAACGGCUUGAUGUUCCCUCGGAUCAUCGUGGCAGUAGAGGAUCCAUCUCUGUCAAACUUCUGCUGGCUGGGAUGGUCACAAAGGUUAUCUGACAGGGAAACGAAACAGAGAAGAAAGAUUACAACUUGAAACAAAGCAUUUUGUAGUGAGGCGUAGACCAUCAGGCGGGGAUAGCUCAGUUGGGAGAGCGUCAGACUGAAGAUCUGAAGGUCGCGUGUUCGAUCCACGCUCACCGCAUAUUACCCUUUUAUUUUCUCUUUGUUUCUAUUAGAAUACUUUUCCGUUAAAAUUUCUGUUAGUAUUAGCUUCUCUUUGUUUCUAUUAGUUAGACUUGUUAACUAUAUUACCAUUUCGUGUACCUUUUCACAAGAACACUACAAUUUAUUUUCUUUCCUAAUAUGGUAUCAGUGCAUACUACACAACCCUAAUAUUCUUUCAUCUUCUUUCCUCCUCUUCUUUGCUCUGCCGCCCUUCCACAUUUCCAUGGUUCAAGAAGCUCCACCACCCAUGGCGAAGCCACAUCCGGCGAUGUCCCCUCUGCUGCAAAUCGCCCAGAAAAUUCUCAUGUCCAUGGCGAAACCACAACCAGCACUCUUCCUCGCGUGCAUCAAGAAUCGAUGGCCAUUGAAAUUCCUCAAGAAAGGGCUUCUUCUAUUCCCAAGCACAUCAACAUAAG